rnacentral:lncRNA from 1 species
AAAAAAAAAAGAAAAGAAAAGAAAGGAACAAAUAGUAGCUGAAAUAUUUCGAGAAAUAUAAUUUGGGCACCAGCAAUAAUAAUGAAUCAUCAUGGAGCACCAUUGAAUAAGUUGAUAGCAGUGGCUGUAGACAAAGAUAGAGGAAGCCAAAUUGCUCUAAAAUGGGCUGUUGACAAUCUUUUAGCCAUGGGACACACUGUUAUUCUGAUCCAUGUCAAAGUUACAUUAUCUGCUAGCAAUGAUGGAUCAGGAAUGACGGAAUUGGAUCUGCAGUUGAAAGAACUCUUUCUUCCUUACCGAAUAUUUUGUACACGUAAAGGUAUCCAAUGUCAUGUUGUUGUUUUAGAGGAUGCCGAUGUGGCCAAAGCAAUCAGUGGAUAUAUCAGCCGAACAUCAAUAGAGGUACUAAUUCUCGGUGCAGCAGCAAAAGUUGAUAUUCCUGGAAACGUUGUAAAACGGGUUCCCAAUUUCUGCACUGUGUAUAGCAUCUCCAAAUCUGGAAAGGUUUCAUUUGCGCAAUCUGCUGUUCGCGUCGCACCAGAUAUUCACCCACUACGUCACCAGUUCAUGCCGGCCAAUAAUGUCAAAUCUAAUUCUGUGACUUCUAGUCUGAUUGAUCCCCAAGAGAAAAAAACUAUCGAAGAAUUGAACUACAUGUCUGUCUUGCUAGCUCAGAGGAAAUCUGAGAUAGCUGUGUUACAAGCUCAAUUGCAACAGGCCUCUCAGAGCACAAGUACGGGACCAGGUGCGAUAGAGGACCUGCAGGCUGAAAACGCUCAGCUUAAGACUGAGAUAGCCGUGUUGCAAGCUCAAUCGCAACAGGCCUCUCAGGGCACAAGUACGGGACCAGGUGCCAUGGAGGAACUGCAGGCUGAAAAUGCUCAGCUUAAGGCUGAGAUAGCCCUGUUGGAAGCUCAAUCGCAACAGGCCUCUCAGGGCACAAGUACGGGACCAGGUGCGAUGGAGGAUCUGCAGGCUGAAAAUGCUCAGCUUAAGACUGAGAUAGCCGUGUCACAUGCACAAUUGCAACUGGCCUCUCAGGGCACAAGUACGGGACCAGGUGCGAAGGAGGACCUGCAGGCUGAAAACGCUCAACUUAAGUCUGAGAUGGCGGAUUUCAAGAAACACGUGGAGGACCUGAUUCAGCAAAUGCUAACUGAUCAACGUGCUGCCAUGAAACGACUUGACCGGCUUCUCUUCAAGCCCUAAUCCGACGACUGCUGUUGCCCUCUGCAUGUCGACUCAUGCUUCUAUAGCUUACCCAGAGGCAUAUUUAAGAUUUCGAGCAAAUGGUUGCACUAUUAUGAAAAGGAUGAAUAUAACAUACUAAUUUAAUCGAUUUGACCUUGAGGUUCUUAUAAAAAAAAAGAAUAAUAAUAAUGAUCACCAAACAUAAACAAUGGACCAAAAUUUGGACAAUUUUUUUUUUU